UACGGAGGGUGCAAGCGUUAUCCGGAUUUACUGGGUUUAAAGGGUGCGUAGGAGGGCAGGUAAGUCAGUGGUGAAAUCUUCGAGCUUAACUCGGAAACCGCCGUUGAUACUAUCUGUCUUGAAUACCGUGGAGGUGAGCGGAAUAUGUCAUGUAGCGGUGAAAUGCUUAGAUAUGACAUAGAACACCAAUUGCGAAGGCAGCUCGCUACACGAAUAUUGACUCUGAGGCACGAAAGCGUGGGGAUCAAACAGG
rnacentral:rRNA from 1 species